AAUCAACGCUGGCGGCGUGCCUCAGACAUGCAAGUCGAACGAUUAAAGCUCUCUUCGGAGAGUGCAUAGAGUGGCGCACGGGUGAGUAACACGUAAGUAAUCUACCCUCGAGUGGGGAAUAACGUCCGGAGACGGACGCUAAUACCGCAUAAUGCAGCGGCACCGCAAGGUGACAGUUGUUAAAGAUUUAUCGCUUGAGGAGGAGCUUGCGGCAGAUUAGCUAGUUGGUAAGGUAAUGGCUUACCAAGGCUACGAUCUGUAACCGGUCUAAGAGGACGGUCGGUCACACUGACACUGAAUAACGGGUCAGACUCCUACGGGAGGCAGCAGUCGGGAAUUUUGGGCAAUGGGCGAAAGCCUGACCCAGCAACGCCGCGUGAAGGAUAAAGUAUUUCGGUAUGUAAACUUCGAAAGAAUAGGAAGAAUUAAUGACGGUACUAUUUAUAAGGUCCGGCUAACUACGUGCCAGCCGCCGCAGUAACAC
rnacentral:rRNA from 1 species